CCAGUAUAAUAAUCAGAGUCUCGGCACGGUACCUUUACAUGCUAUUUUGAUGGAGUUUGUGCGGUGCGUUGUUGAUUUGAAUAUUUCCGUGUGGGAUAUAAUUUAAUAAUCUGCCAAAUGGCACACCGAUGUUUGAUAUAUUAAUUAUCAAUAUAUUCAUUUGCAGUUAUAUUAUUGUAAUUAAACGUUAGAGUGCCUCAUAGUUUCACUAGCUUUUGGUACCUUGGAUUAGGGGAUGAAAAACAGUAAGAAUGAGUAAUAUCGAUUAUUACAGCCAAAGUAUACACCGAUCAGAAUGAAAUAAUUGACGUCUAUGGAUCCGAUGUUGAAGGAGACUGCAGUGGAUAUGAAGUGACGCUAGAAAAAUUCAUUCUGGUUCCAACUGGUGAUCUCUGGACACGCCGAGAUCUGAGACGAGACAGAUGCAUCGUUCUAUUAUAUAUUUAUGACAGAACGUUUCGAUGAAGGAAUUUUCAAUUUCCAUGAUGCUGACGAAGUUUUGGACGUCGAAUUAGGAGAUUAACAUUUCAGCAGAUGUAAAACACAAAGGUGAAAUAAAAUGAACGCAUAAUGUUGCCUACAAUCCUUAUUGCCUCAAAAUAUCACGUGGCUGACGUCGAAUCACGUGGUCAUGAAAGAAAAAGGAGGUUUCUGGAAUCUAUAAACAUAGAUGAAAGUUUAUAAAAGUUGAAAGAUAAUUUGAACUUGAAUUCAAAUAGAACUGUCAUUUGAUGUAACAUAUUUUGAUAUGAAUUGAUUAGUUCUGUAACGACCUUUCAGUAAAUUUGCCACUCGCGUGUACGCACAUUACUUCAGCUAAAAUGCAAAUUAUUAUUGAAUGGACUGGCGGUCGACAAUUUUUCAUACAAUUGAUGAAUGGUAGUCGUUGGGUUGAGAGUAGUGCAACGUGACACCACAAAACACGGUAUCAGGCAUCUUACUCAUGCCACGUUUAAAGUGGAAAGUACUAUACGAGGUCGAAUUAAAAAACGUUAUGAAUAUGGAAAUUUUUCACAAAAGAAGACAAAGAAGAUUAUGAACACUCGUUAUGGAAUUUAAAAAAAGAUUUAUCGCGCUAUUGUAUUACUAAUAGCUCCGCGCGAAAACCUAAAUAUUGUCUUGGGGUCGGACAUAAAAGCAUCUAAUUUUGACGACUUUAUUGCCGUUCGUAAUUUGGACGACCUUCAAUGAUAUUUGACUUGAACUGAGUGAAAUGUCACGGCACACGUAUUCCAACUUGUCCUAACGUCACGUAUUGAAACUGACGUCACGUCACGAGGUAUUUUGGUUCGAACAAUCCGUGAUCUUAAUAUGAAUGCGGUUUCAAGUAAUAUUACUUUCAAGUGACGAAAGAAGGCAAAAUGUCAGUUUCAGCAUGUGGUCAGAAAUGUGAAAAUAAAGAUUUUUUCGGAAUUGACACAUGUUUAUUUCAAUAAACAAUUAAACUAUGCAUCUGAAAAUGUUAUGCUGGGUGAUUUAUCUAAUGAGCAAAGUUCGAAUUUACUUUCUCUACAAUUUUUUAGUGUGAUAUUCAAAAUUUAAGUUUGAUUUGUUCUAAACUUGCCAUUUUGGAAAUGACAUCAUCAUUUAUGCAACUUUCGGCAGUAUCAUAAUUUCAAUAUAAAAUUGGUCAUGUUUGUUUGGUCUUUCGGCAGAUUUCCAGAAAUGCAACUAUCCGGAUAUUAGCCUAAUUUUUUCUCAAAAUAAAUUGAUAAUUUCGAUUCAUAAUGAUUGAACUAUUUUGGAUUUCCGUGUGUGUCUGAGAGCUGGAACCUCGAAAUAGAGCAAAGCUUUCAAGACAGGUUGUCGCCCAUAACUUUCCUCAGAGGUGGGUCUCCCUCUCUUUUGUUAGGUGAGUGUACAUGGCUUUCACUUUGCUUAACUUGGCAAAUAUUAUCGAAUUUGUACUUGCAACUACCUCGGAAAAAAGUACCUCUAAAUUUGUAUUUGUUCGGCGCUAUUUAACUGAUACAAUUCAAUCAACGUUUCAAUAAUCUUAUCCUAAAUUUACUCUAAAACGAAUUUUUUGCCCGACUCACAGAUUCAAUUUUGAUUUGAGAAGUUUACCAAAAAAAGAUCAAAAAUGUUUGUAAUCAUUCAUUAAAUGAUGAUAAAAACUUUCGAAACAUACUUGCCAAAAUGCACGUUUAUUGCGCGACAAAUUCAAUUAUUAGAUUGUAAGGGAGGGCACAGUCAGAAUACAGUCUGAUACCUCUGAUAAGCACUGAAAUAUUUUUGAAAGAUCAUAAGAUAACAAUGUGUUUCUAUUAUAUUUUUAAACGUCUUCGUCUGGCCUAUUUUUUGUAUAAUAUUAUCUAUACGUCAAUCAUGGACCAUCGGUAAACCACGUCUUUUAAGCGCCUAGCAUUAAUACCUCAUCCACGAUUGUGUAUUGCUUUUGUGUCUUUUCUUUUUGUACACUCAUGUAUGUCCGAAUAACGUACUUGUCUUUGAAUAUAAUUGUACACACAAACACUGUAAUUUUCCACCUGUACCUACCUCAAGUUUAUUUUCCUGUGUCAUUUUUAUAUUUCUUUUCUCCUUUCUCUGAUAAUAACAAUGGUAAGAUUACCUAUCCCACUGUUUAUUGGAAAUUUUAUUAAAAAAAAUUACACGUGAAA